rnacentral:rRNA from 1 species
GACGAACGCUGGCGGCGUGCCUAACACAUGCAAGUCGAGCGGAGACAGUGAGUAGCUUGCUACGAACUGUUUUAGCGGCGGACGGGUGAGUAACGCGUGAGCAACCUUUCCCAGACAGGGGAAUAACACACCGAAAGGUGUACUAAUACCGCAUAAGACCACGGGAUCACAUGGUUCUGGGGUAAAAGAAUUAUCGGUUUGGGGUGGGCUCGCGUCCGAUUAGGUAGUUGGUGAGGUAACGGCCCACCAAGCCGACGAUCGGUAGCCGACCUGAGAGGGUGAUCGGCCACAUUGGGACUGAGACACGGCCCAAACUCCUACGGGAGGCAGCAGUGGGGAAUAUUGGGCAAUGGGGGGAACCCUGACCCAGCAACGCCGCGUGGAGGAAGAAGGUUUUCGGAUCGUAAACUCCUGUCCU